rnacentral:rRNA from 2 species
UGGGGAAUCUUGCACAAUGGGCGAAAGCCUGAUGCAGCGACGCCGCGUGCGGGAUGAAGGCCCUCGGGUUGUAAACCGCUUUCAGCAGGGACGAGGCGCAAGUGACGGUACCUGCAGAAGAAGCCCCGGCUAACUACGUGCCAGCAGCCGCGGUAAUACGUAGGGGGCGAGCGUUAUCCGGAUUCAUUGGGCGUAAAGCGCGCGUAGGCGGCCUGUUAGGUCGGGAGUCAAAUCCGGGGGCUCAACCCCCGUCCGCUCCCGAUACCGGCAGGCUUGAGUCUGGUAGGGGAAGGUGGAAUUCCAAGUGUAGCGGUGGAAUGCGCAGAUAUUUGGAAGAACACCGGUGGCGAAGGCGGCCUUCUGGGCCACGACUGACGCUGAGGCGCGAAAGCUAGGGGAGCGAACAGG